CUUAGAGUUUGAUCCUGGCUCAGGAUGAACGCUAGCUACAGGCUUAACACAUGCAAGUCGAGGGGAAACGAUAGAGAAAGCUUGCUUUUUCUAGGCGUCGACCGGCGCACGGGUGAGUAACGCGUAUCCAACCUGCCCACCACUUGGGGAUAACCUUGCGAAAGUAAGACUAAUACCCAAUGACGUCUCUAGAAGACAUCUGAAAGAGAUUAAAGAUUUAUCGGUGAUGGAUGGGGAUGCGUCUGAUUAGCUUGUUGGCGGGGUAACGGCCCACCAAGGCGACGAUCAGUAGGGGUUCUGAGAGGAAGGUCCCCCACAUUGGAACUGAGACACGGUCCAAACUCCUACGGGAGGCAGCAGUGAGGAAUAUUGGUCAAUGGGCGAGAGCCUGAACCAGCCAAGUAGCGUGCAGGAAGACGGCCCUAUGGGUUGUAAACUGCUUUUAUAAGGGAAUAAAGUGGGAGUCGUGACUCCUUUUGCAUGUACCUUAUGAAUAAGGACCGGCUAAUUCCGUGCCAGCAGCCGCGGUAAUACGGAAGGUCCGGGCGUUAUCCGGAUUUAUUGGGUUUAAAGGGAGCGUAGGCCGGAGAUUAAGCGUGUUGUGAAAUGUAGACGCUCAACGUCUGCACUGCAGCGCGAACUGGUUUCCUUGAGUACGCACAAAGUGGGCGGAAUUCGUGGUGUAGCGGUGAAAUGCUUAGAUAUCACGAAGAACUCCGAUUGCGAAGGCAGCUCACUGGAGCGCAACUGACGCUGAAGCUCGAAAGUGCGGGUAUCGAACAGGAUUAGAUACCCUGGUAGUCCGCACGGUAAACGAUGGAUGCCCGCUGUUGGUCUGAAUAGGUCAGCGGCCAAGCGAAAGCAUUAAGCAUCCCACCUGGGGAGUACGCCGGCAACGGUGC
rnacentral:rRNA from 1 species